UUGAUCUCAAAUCAGGUAGGACUACCCGCUGAACUUAAGCAUAUCAAUAAGCGGAGGAAAAGAAACUAACAAGGAUUCCCCUAGUAACUGCGAGUGAAGCGGGAAGAGCUCAAAUAUAAAAUCUGGCGUGCCUCUGGCCGUCCGAGUUGUAGUCUGGAGAAGCGUUUUCCGUGUCGGACCGUGUAUA
rnacentral:rRNA from 1 species